rnacentral:rRNA from 1 species
UACAGAGGGGGCAAGCGUUAUUCGGAAUUAUUGGGCGUAAAGGGCGCGUAGGCGGCUUUGCAAGUGACGGGUGAAAGCCCUCGGCUUAACCGAGGAACUGCCUGUCAGACUGUAAGGCUUGAGACCGGGAGAGGUGAGUGGAAUUCCCAGUGUAGCGGUGAAAUGCGUAGAUAUUGGGAGGAACACCAGUGGCGAAGGCGGCUCACUGGCCCGGUACUGACGCUGAGGUGCGAAAGCGUGGGGAGCAAACAGG